CGUGAUAGAAAAUCCAAAUUGCAAAUACUUGUACGAGAAGCUAAUACAAGUCGAGUGGCUUCACGAGAUCUCAGUUUGUUGAAGCCUGAAUUUAUGGACCAAAAUCAGUGGGACUUGUUUGUACAGAGGACAUUAUCAUCUACCUUUCAAGAAAAGAGUGCAAGAUUUAGAGCAAUGAGGGAAAAACAAGACCACAUUCACACAAUGAGUCGGAGGGGCUAUGCUCGUUUGACUCACAUUAUGGAAAAGACAAGUCCGAUGGAUACAAAAAUUACGAGAUCGCAAGUUUGGAUUGAAGGUCACAAGAGAAAAAAUGGGGAGCCCAGUACUCAAGCC